GCAAGGCCUACGUCUAACCUAGAGGAAC
rnacentral:piRNA from 1 species